UAUAUACUCCCUCCGUUCCAAAUUACUUGUCGCGGGUAUGGAUGUAUCUAGAUGUAUUUUAGUUCCAGAUACAUCCAUUUCUGCGACGAGUAAUUUGGAACGGAGGGAGUAUGUC
rnacentral:pre_miRNA from 1 species